AGAGUUUGAUCCUGGCUCAGAACGAACGCUGGCGGCGUGCCUAACACAUGCAAGUCGAACGGAAUGAAGGGGCUUGCUCUUUCAUUUAGUGGCGCACGGGUGAGUAACGCGUAGACAAUCUGCCUGACGAUCUGGGGUAACACUUCGAAAGAGGUGCUAAUACCGGAUAAGCCCACGGGGUCUUUGGACUCUGCGGGAAAAGGGGGGGACCUUUUGGCCUUCUGUCGUCAGAUGAGUCUGCGUACCAUUAGCUAGUUGGUAGGGUAAUGGCCUACCAAGGCUACGAUGGUUAGCUGGUCUGAGAGGAUGAUCACCCACACUGGAACUGAGACACGGUCCACACUCCUACGGGAGGCAGCAGUGGGGAAUUUUGCGCAAUGGGCGAAAGCCUGCCGCAGCAACGCCGCGUGAGUGAUGAAGGCUUUCGGGUCGUAAAGCUCUGUCGAGGGGAAAGAAGUGCAUUGCGGUUAAUACCCGCUUUACUUGACGGUACCCCUAAAGGAAGCACCGGCUAACUCCGUGCCAGCAGCCGCGGUAAUUC
rnacentral:rRNA from 1 species